ACUCAAAGGAAUUGACGGGGGCCCGCACAAGCGGUGGAGCAUGUGGUUCAAUUCGACGCAACGCGAAGAACCUUACCUGGGCUCGAACGGCUGAUCAACGGAGGUGGAAACAUCUUUACCCCGCAAGGGGGUUCAGUCGAGGUGCUGCAUGGCUGUCGUCAGCUCGUGUCGUGAGAUGUUGGGUUAAGUCCCGCAACGAGCGCAACCCUUGUCCUGUGUUGCCAUCAUUCAGUUGGGAACUCGCAGGAGACCGCCAGGGAUAACCUGGAGGAAGGUGGGGAUGACGUCAAGUCCUCAUGGCCUGUAUGUCCAGGGCUACACACGUGCUACAAUGGACGGUACAAAGCGCAGCGAACUCGCGAGAGGGAGCCAAUCGCAAAAAACCGUUCUCAGUUCGGAUUGCAGGCUGCAACUCGCCUGCAUGAAGCUGGAAUCGCUAGUAAUGGCAGAUCAGCACGCUGCCGUGAAUACGUUCCCGGGCCUUGUACACACCGCCCGU
rnacentral:rRNA from 1 species